rnacentral:rRNA from 1 species
CGGUCCAUAUCCGGUGCAGGCGUAAGAGCAUUGAGAGGAGUCCUCCUUAGUACGAGAGGACCGGGAGGAACGCACMGCUGGUGUACCAGUUAUCGUGCCAACGGUAAACGCUGGGUAGCCAAGUGCGGAGCGGAUAACCGCUGAAAGCAUCUAAGUGGGAAGCCCACCUCAAGAUGAGUGCUCUCACCACUUUAAGUGGGUAAGGUCACGGGCAGAACACCCGUUUAUAGGCGGUAGGUGGAAGUGCAGUAAUGUAUGUAGCCGAGCCGUGCUAACAGACCGAGGGCUUGACCUCACAA